CUAGUUGGUUGAAUGGUAGCUUUUAGCAUUGCUAAAAGAGGAAAGUCUGGGCUCCAUAGGAAAAAGUACCAGGUAAUACCUGGCAAGAGUGAUCUUAGGGAUAGUGCCACAGAAAAUAUACCGCCUAAUCAAGGCAAGGGUGAAAAGGUGAGGUAAGAGCUCACCGGUUUUUUAGUAAUAAAAAACGCAUGGAAAACCCUACUUGGAGCAAGACCAAAUAGGAGUAGCGUGGUUUUAAUUAACCAAAUUUCCUAAAUUAGCUACUCGGGUUGGUUGCUUGAAUCACUUGGCGACAAGUGAUCUAGAUAAAUUAUCAUUUUAAAUGACAAAACCCAGCUUACAGACCAACUAGCAAA
rnacentral:RNase_P_RNA from 1 species